rnacentral:lncRNA from 1 species
GCCUUGCCACUACUCACUAUUAGGGAUUCUUUAGAUGUUGUCGAGGGAAUAAAUUAUUUAAUAUGAACGUACGGACCAGAUUCUCGCUGCAAGGAGAACUUCUCCCGAACUUCAGGAUCCCUACCUGACUGUAGAAGUGACUUCAACUUAAUCUGCUAACCAGUGAUGUGUGAGGAUGCUGAGGGAGUACAGAUGCAGGCAUUGCUGUUGUUCUAUGAGUUUUGCAGAACACUGAUAUCUAUGGACUCUAACAUGGACUUCAUUUAAAGAAAUCCACGGAUCAUUAAUGGACAAAAACAUGAAUCAGUUUAUGUUGUGGCAUACAAAUCCUAGCACUUUGGGAAAGCAUCAAGUACAAGUUUUUGAAGACCCUGAGGCCUACCACCAUUAUGCAUUCAAGAUUGAGUUUGAAUAA